rnacentral:rRNA from 1 species
UCGGGAAUUUUGGGCAAUGGGCGAAAGCCUGACCCAGCAACGCCGCGUGAAGGAUGAAGUAUUUCGGUAUGUAAACUUCGAAAGAAUAGGAAGAAUAAAUGACGGUACUAUUUGUAAGGUCCGGCUAACUACGUGCCAGCAGCCGCGGUAAUACGUAGGGACCAAGCGUUGUUCGGAUUUACUGGGCGUAAAGGGCGCGUAGGCGGUGUGUCAAGUCAGUUGUGAAAUCUCCGAGCUUAACUCGGAACGGUCAACUGAUACUGUCGCGCUAGAGUGCAGAAGGGGCAAUCGGAAUUCUUGGUGUAGCGGUGAAAUGCGUAGAUAUCAAGAGGAACACCUGAGGUGAAGACGGGUUGCUGGGCUGACACUGACGCUGAGGCGCGAAAGCCAGGGGAGCAAACGGGAUUAGAUACCCCGGUAGUCCCUGAGCGGGCUGGCAAGGCGCAU